AUAAUGGGUCAGCGACUUAUAUUCUGUAGCAAGGUUAACCGAAUAGGGGAGCCGAAGGGAAACCGAGUCUUAACUGGGCGUUAAGUUGCAGGGUAUAGACCCGAAACCCGGUGAUCUAGCCAUGGGCAGGUUGAAGGUUGGGUAACACUAACUGGAGGACCGAACCGACUAAUGUUGAAAAAUUAGCGGAUGACUUGUGGCUGGGGGUGAAAGGCCAAUCAAACCGGGAGAUAGCUGGUUCUCCCCGAAAGCUAUUUAGGUAGCGCCUCGUGAAUUCAUCUCCGGGGGUAGAGCACUGUUUCGGCAAGGGGGUCAUCCCGACUUACCAACCCGAUGCAAACUGCGAAUACCGGAGAAUGUUAUCACGGGAGACACACGGCGGGUGCUAACGUCCGUCGUGAAGAGGGAAACAACCCAGACCGCCAGCUAAGGUCCCAAAGUCAUGGUUAAGUGGGAAACGAUGUGGGAAGGCCCAGACAGCCAGGAUGUUGGCUUAGAAGCAGCCAUCAUUUAAAGAAAGCGUAAUAGCUCACUGGUC
rnacentral:rRNA from 1 species